rnacentral:rRNA from 1 species
CCUACGGGGGGCUGCAGUGGGGAAUAUUGGACAAUGGGCGCAAGCCUGAUCCAGCCAUGCCGCGUGAGUGAAGAAGGCCUUCGGGUUGUAAAGCUCUUUUGGCGGGGACGAUGAUGACGGUACCCGCAGAAUAAGCCCCGGCUAACUUCGUGCCAGCAGCCGCGGUAAGACGAAGGGGGCUAGCGUUGUUCGGAAUUACUGGGCGUAAAGGGCGCGUAGGCGGUUUGUUAAGUCAGGCGUGAAAGCCCUGGGCUCAACCUGGGAUGUGCGCUUGAUACUGGCAGGCUUGAGUGCAGGAGAGGAUGGUGGAAUUCCCAGUGUAGAGGUGAAAUUCGUAGAUAUUGGGAAGAACACCGGUGGCGAAGGCGGCCAUCUGGACUGCAACUGACGCUGAGGCGCGAAAGCGUGGGGAGCAAACAGGAUUAGAUACCCCAGUAGUC